rnacentral:lncRNA from 10 species
UGCGAAUCUUGGGAACAGAGCACUGAUACAGACCAGGGAUCGGUGAAUACUGGGUAGAAGACGGCGGUUUCCUGGCAAAGGCCCCACCAUCAAGCCUGAAGACCUGCAGCCCUAAAUGAGGACAGAUGUGACCUGCAAGCAAGGAGACGAGGAGGCAAGCAGACCAGCAGACCAGCAGACCAGCAGACCAGCAGACCAGCAAUGACGGAAUGAUGUGGCAGACAAAGAGAGAGGAGGAAGGAUGUCUGGACACCGAGGGGAGUUUGGCCAGGGGCAGUCAGAAAAGAGUCCCACCACUGGGAGUCCUGACUGCAGGGGAAGACCACCUUCCCUCUCCAUUCCCCCUUCUGGCUCCUCAUCCAUCUUGCUGAAAGCCAUCUCCACCACUCAAUAAAACAUUGCAC